rnacentral:rRNA from 1 species
AAGGAUUAAGGUGGAUACCUAGGUACCCAGAGACGAGGAAGGGCGUAGUAAUCAACGAAAUGCUUCAGGGAGUUGAAAAAUAAGCAUAGAUCCGGAGAUUCCCGAAUAGGGCAACCUUUCGAACUGCUGUUGAAUACAAUGGCAGGCAAGAGACAACCUAGCAAACUGAAACAUCUUAGUAUCCACAGGAAAAGAAAGAAAAGGUGAUUCCCAUAGUAGCGGCGAGCGAAAUAGGAGUAGCCUAAACCGUGAAAAUGGGGUUGUGGGAGAGAAAUACAAGAGUCGUACUGCUAGGCGAAGAAACCUAAAUGUUGCACCCUAGUUGGCAAAAGUCCAGUAGCCGAAAGCAUCAUCACUAGCUUAUGCUCUGACCCGAGUAGCAUGGGGCACGUAGAAUCCCAUGUGAAUCAGCAACGACCACCUUGCAAGGCUAAAUACUCCGAGGUGACCGAUAGCGAAGUAGUACCGUGAGGGAAGGGUGAAUAGAAUCCCCAUCGGGCGUGAAAUAGAACAUGAAACCGUAAGCUCCCAAGCAGUGGGAGGAUCCAGGGCUCUGACUGCGUGCCUGUUGAAAAAUGAGCUCGCAACUUAUAGGCAGUGUCUUGGUUAAUGGAACCCACCGGAGCCGUAGCGAAAGCGAGUCUUCAUAGGGCAAUUGUCACUGCUUAUGGACCUGAACCUGGGUAAUCUAUCCAUGACCAAGAUGAAGCUUGGGUGAAACUAAGUGGAGGUUCGAACCGACUGAUGUUUAAGAAUCAGCGGAUGAGUUGUGGUCAGGGGUAAAAUGCCACUCAAACCCAGAGCUAGCUGGUUUUCCCCAAAAUGCGUUGAGGUGCAGCAGUUGACUGGACAUCUAGGGGUAAAGCACUAUUUUGGUACGGGCCACGAGAGCGGUACCAAAUCGAGGCAAACACUAAAUACUAGGUAUGGCCUUAAAACUAAAAAAGAGGGGUCAAAGUCGACCAGUGAGACGAUGGGGGAUAAGCUUCAUCAUCGAGAAGGAAACAACCCGGAUCACCAGCUAAGGCCCCUAAAUGGCCACUCAGUGAUAAAGGAGGUAGGGGUGCGGAGACAGCCAGGAGGUUUUCCUAGAAUUAGCCACCCUUGAAAGAGUGCGUAAUAGCUCACUGAUCGAGCGCUUUUUGCGCCGAAGAUGAAUGGGGCUAAGCGAUCUACCGAAGCUAUGGUGUGUAAAAAUACAUUGGUAGGGGAGCGUUCCACCUUAGAGGGAAGCCUACACGCGAGCGGUGAUGGACGAAGCGGAAGCGAGAAUGUCGGCUUGAGUAAUGCAAACAUUGGUGAGAAUCCAAUGCAUCAAAAACCUAAGGGUUUCUCCGCAAGGUUCGUCCAUGGAGGGUGAGUCAGGGCCUAAGAUCAAGCCGAAAGGCGUAGUCGAUGUACAAUAGGUGAAUAUUCCUAUACUACCCCUUGUUGUUCCCGAGGGACGGAGGAGGCUAGGUAAGCCGAAAGAUGGUUGUCGGUUCAAGAACGUAAGGUGUCCCUGCCAUUUUUUCAGUGUAAGAAGGGGUAGAGAAAAUGCCUCGAGUCAAUGUUCAAAUACCAGACGCUACGGCGCUGAAGUAACCCAUGCCAUACUCCCAGGAAAAGCUUGAACGACUUUGAGCAAGAGGGUACUUGUACCUGAAACCGAAACAGGUGGGUAGGUAGAGAAUACCUAAGGGCGUGAGACAACUCUCUCUAAGGAACUCAGCAAAAUAGCCCUGUAACUUCGGGAGAAGGGAUUCCUCUUCACAUCACAAAGAGGGUCGCAGUGCUUGGGCAAAUAUUUACCAAAAACAUAGAUUUUCGCAAAGUUGUAAGACCAUGUAUGGGGGCUGACGCCUACCCAGUGCUGGAAGGUCAAGGAAGUUGGUGACCUAAUGAUAGAGGAGCCGACGACCGAAGCCCCGGUGAAUGGAGGACGUAACUAUAACAGUCCUAAGGUAGCGAAAUUCCUUGUCGGGUAAGUUCCAGCCCGCACGAAAGGCGUAAUGAUCUGGGAACUGUCUCAGAGAGAGGCUCGGUGAAAUAUACAUGUUUGUGAAGAUGCGGACUACCUGCACCUGGACAGAAAGACCUUAUGAAGCUUUAAUGUUCCCUGGGAUUGGCUUUGGGCCUUUCCUGCGCAGCUUAGGUGGAAGGCGAAGAAGGCAUCCUUCCGGGGGGGCCGAGCCAUCAGUGAGAUACCACUCUGGAAGGGAUAGAAUUCUAACCUUGUGUCAGGACCUACGAGCCAAGGGACAGUCUCAGGUAGACAAAUUCUAUGAGGCGUUAGCCUCCCAAAAGGAAACAGAGGUGUGCAAAGGUUUCCUCAGGCCGGAUGGAGAUUGGCCCUCGAGUGCAAAGGCAGAAGGGAGCUUGACAGCAAGACCCAACCGUCGACCAGGGACGAAAGUUAGCCUUAGUGAUCCGACGGUGCCGAGUGGAAGGGCUGUCGCCCAACGAAUAAAAAUUACUCCAGGAAUAACAAGCUGAUCUUCCCCAAGAGCUCACAUCAACGGGAAGGUUUGGAACCUCGAUGUCGAAUCUUCACCACCUGGGGUUGUAGUAUGUUCCAAGGGUUGGGCAGUUCGCCUAUUAAAGCGGUACGUGAGCUGGGUUCAGACGUCGUGAGACAGUUCGGUCCAUAUCCGGUGUGGGAGUUAGAUCAUUGAGAGGACUUUUCCCUAGUACGGGAGGAUCGGGAAGGAACACUUCUGGUGUACCAGUUAUCAUGCCCAUGGUAAAUACUGGGUAGCCAAGUGCGGACCGGAUUACUGCUGAAAGCAUCUAAGUAGUAAGCCUACCACAAAAUGAGUGCUCUCCUAUUUCGACUUCCCUAGAGCUUUU